GCCCGAGUGGUGAAAUGGUAGACACGAAGGACUUAAAAUCCUUUGGCCAUUGCGGCUGUACCGGUUCGAGUCCGGUCUCGGGCA
rnacentral:tRNA from 1 species